CUCUCUUACACACACACAUGUAUUUUAUUAUUAAUCACAGUUCUGAACUCAACAACAGAGCUGUAAAACACAUGUUUGAUCCUCAUCUGUGACCUGUUGUCAUUAUCUCACAUGUGAGUGUGUUUCAUCAUGUCCAUGUGGUUCUGUGCAUCAGCUCACAUUAAAUAUCAUCAUCAUUUCAUCAAUGUUCAUUGAAGGUUCAUUGAAGGUUCAUUGAAGGUUCAUGCAGCAACACUUUGUUUAUGGGCAGUUGAUAGACUGUACAUGUCUCUCGCUCCACAACACAAACACAAUAAACAAUCCUCUUUACUGCAUGUCAAUCUCUUCAUCUGAUUAUCAGGACUCGUCAUGGCAUUCCCGCAGGCCGAGGGAUUAGUUCGGGCACAGAUGGUGGACUGGAUUUAUCCCUGACUGAUGAAGAAUUAAACUCUAAUAUGAACUGAAAUGACACAGUCCGUACGGUCGUUUGACAUUCUCUCUCUCUUUCUCUCUCAACGCUCCUCCUUCCACUAUGGCUGUGCCAAGGUAAGAAUUCCGAGGAAUGUUGUGGAAUGUUAGGAAUGUCGGAGAAGGGGCCUCCACCCUAUAACACAUUCAUGUAGGGUGGAACCAGAACACUCUUCCUGCUUUACUGCAGCGGAUGGCAAUAAAUAACUCUCAGUUAAACUUGAGCUUGUGUCAGCUGUCCUGAGCAGAUCUCUCGUACCCCUCACAGGUGCCGUGUGUUGAGAUGUGCUCUGGACUGCCAUGGAAACAAGACUGACACCCAUCUGAGAUCUAUGAUGGUCUAGCUCCACCCACUCAGAGCCAGUAUGUUGGCCUCAGCGGUCUCCAGUAGCAACCGAGGGCGAACUCUGACCCUGAAGGGCGUCGACCCGGAAACAUGUAUGAUUGUCUUCAAAAACCACUGGACUCAGGUUUUGAGGAUCUUGGAGAAGCAUGAUCCGGGUCGUAGCGGAGGCCCUGCUCUAUCGGGGGUUGGUGGUGGUUUGCGGUUCGGUCCGAUCCCUGGCGACGAGGCGAGCGCCGUGCAGAACUACGUCGAGCACAUGCUCUUCCUUUUGAUGGAGGAAGAGAGCGGCCAGGGCGGAGCUAUGGGGCCCAUCCUGGAGUUUGUGGUGGUGGAGAACGUCAUGGAGAAGCUGUUUCUGUGGAGUCUUCGCCGUGAGUUCACAGAUGACAUGAAGCUGGAGCAGCUUCGUAUGUAUGAAAUGCUAGUAGCUCAAGCCAAGCAACCGCUGCUACACCACAAACCCAUCCUGAAACCUCUCAUGAUGCUGCUCUCUGCCUGCUCCACCUCCUCCGCGGUGGGGCCCUCCUGCACCAUGGGGCCCACCGCUCCAUGCACAAGCAACAGCUCCGCGAUAGUCCCUAACUGUGCGGUAGGGCCUAGUGCUCCAAGCAAAGGCAGCAGGGAUAAAGGGCCCACCUGCGCCGUGGGGCCCGUCCACGCAGGUAGCAGCAGCUCUGCGGUGGAGGCAGAGCUUGUGUCUCUGCUACAUGAGCUGUGUCGUGUAUUGGUGAAAGAGGCCUCCGUGCUGGAGCUGUUCUUUCACAGCAGUCAGGAUCAGGGAGCCGCAAACUUCCUGCUGUUUUCUCUUCUCAUUCCAUUCAUCCACCGUGACGGGACCGUCGGCACGCAGGCCAGAGACGCCCUCACGCUCAUCAUGAGCCUCUCGUCGCAGAACAGCCUCGUAGCCAAACACAUCGCAGAGAACACUUACUUCUGCCCGGUGUUGGCUACUGGUCUGAGUGGUCUGUAUUCUGGUCUUCCGGCUAAACUGGAGGUUUACAGCGAGGGCUGGUUCUGUCUGGAGAAAAACGAUCAGCUACAGGUUCCUGCACUUCAUCAAUUCCUCAAUUCACUGCACUUCUGCAGCACUGUGUGCAAGGUGGCUCACCUGUCUGUAAGAGAUCAGCUUCUUGGCUACAUCUACAAUGGGUUUCUAGUGCCCGUCCUGGCUCCUGCUCUGCAUAAGUUGACUUUAGAGGAAGUGAUGACAACAACAGCAUAUUUGGAGCUCUUUCUGCGGAGCAUCUCUGACCCUGUCCUCCUCGAGACCUUCCUCAUUUUCAUCCUCAGACAUCGCCAUGACAACGUCAACAUCCUGGAUACGCUGGUCAGCAGAAUAAACACUCCGUUUCAGCUGGGCACAGUUUCUCUGGCUCUUUUCCGCACACUGAUUGGUCUCUAUUGUGAAGAUGUCAUGCUGCAGUUAAUUCUCAGGUAUCUAAUUCCUUGCUCUCAUCUAGUGUAUGGUGAGAGAAACAGACUGAGAAGGAGAGACUGUUACUCCAUCAAUGCAUCUGCACUGCUCUCUCUCACUCCAUCAUUCUUCAUCAGUAAAUCCAGCUCCUCACCAACACAUCCUCCCAAACCUGACUACAUCCUCUGGUCAAAGGUCACAGAGGGCCUGCUGAGGGGGAACAUGGGAAUGGAAGAUCUGUUCUCAGGUGGAGAUAGUGUUGGAUGCUCCCGUAUAACUGCUUCAGAGCCCUUGAUGCACAAGAACUACCUGCAGUACCUUUAUGAUGCUCGCCAGGCCAUCUGUACUAGCGUGCAGGCAUGCUGCGUUUGGUCGGCCCCGUACAAUGGACUCGACCCCUCCCCAGAGGAGUACCAGGAGGAGGACGAGGAGAAAGAUGAUGAUGAGUGUCUUGCAAUAUCUACUCCCCCAAAUCAGACACCUACACCCCACCCGCCCUCCGAAACCAGCUCCAUUAGUGAUCGUGAACGAGUUGGAACUCUAUUUGAACUGGAAUGGGAUGACACUUAUGAUGCCACACCGGACGGAGACAAUGGCCAAGUGAUUUCUGAAAAUUCCCAAGUACCAGAUCGGUUGAUCCCGGACGAGCUCCCAAAACACAUCCAAGAGAUGCGUAAAAGUGCCAUCAUGCUCAUUAAAGGAUCGUACAUUGAGGAAUCAGACUUCCAGGAUGAUGUGUUGGUUUAUAAUCUAAUUGCGCAAAAAGAUGCUCGAGACGACCACAGAAAGUCCAUCAAGAACACACAAAAUCCCAGCCACACAAAUGGCCUGCACAAACAAUCUAACAAUAACCACAUACAUAAUGGUACACAACAUCAAACUAACAAUUUUAAUUCACACAAUACCUCACAAAACCACAUGCAUAAAAAUCAUAAUCAAGCCAAUAACGUACACGAUGCACAUAAAUCUAAACUCUUGGAGUCAAUCCAUGAUGGAGUUCAUCCAAGAUCGGAAAAGUCCAUUAGUGUAAUAGUCAACGGACACAGUUCUGAAGAACAGAAGCCAGAGACGGAGGCUUAUGCUGCUCAUCUGGACCAUAAUCGUAAUGUGACUGUUGAGGAACAUCAGAAUGAAGUGACCUCAGCACCAGCUAAAGGUGACGACUUCAUCUCCCAGUGCCUGGAGCUCAUUCACUCUCUAGGAGGAGAGGAGGAGAACUUCACGGAAGAUGAAGACCAUAUCCAGUGGCUGCAGGCUCUCCUGCAUGGGGAGGAAAAGGAGGUGGACUUCAGCUCCUUCUAUGAUGAUGAUGAAGAUGAUGGUGAUGAGGAACUGUGCAAAAACGACAGCAGGAAACAUGGGUUCCCAUUUACAGGGCCAUUCAUCAGUGUUCUGCUGUCUCGUCUGGAGAACAUGUUGGAGAACUCCAUCGAGGUGAACCUCCUGGUAACAGGGAUUCUAGCUCAGCUGGCAACGUACCCACAACCAUUGCUACAAGGCUUCCUCUUGAACACAAAACCUGUGUUUCAGCCCAGCAUACGAUCCCUUUACCAGGUGCUGGUAUCAGUUGGUUGUCAGAUAGAACAGUAUGCAGCAUCUAGACCCGAUUUUCCUGAGCUGGCACGUGAAGCCGCCCAGUACCUGCUCCUCAAAGACCAGAUUUUAAAGGAACAAGAGCAAGAUGACCACCUGCAGGACAAAGGGUCAGGCUGGUUUCUGAACGGGCACAUCCCUGGUCAUCUCCGUAAGCCUCUACCUCCAUGUCCCAAAAUCCUGCCACACCAGCGGAACAAAGUGUUUGCUAUUAUUCUGUUUGCCGAAUUCCUGAAGGAGCUGGCGGCCAUCGCUCAAGAGCACUCCAUCUUACCUGAUCUAACGGCAGAUGAGUAACACUCUGAAACACUCAGGAGGAGACAGCAACGUUGAUAUAGAGCAACAUUCAAAUGCAAAUGCCUCUCAUAUGCAGUACUUUCGAAAACUAAAUACAUAACUCUGAAGCUCAUUACUGAAAACGUACCUGGAUAAAAGAUUUUCAGAACUUCACUGGCCUAUGCAGAGCCCACACCUAAACUAGAUUUAGGGUUAGGCUUGUAUUUGUGACCCUGUCUCUGAGCACACUUUAUGAUAAUGCCUCCUCUAAAGACAAAACAACUGGAAUGGGACGACACUUAUGACGCCACACCAGAUGGAGACAACGGCCAAGUGAUUUCUGAAAAUUCCCAAAUACCAGAUCGGCUGAUCCCGGACGAGCCCCCAAAACACGUCCAAGAGCUGUCUGUCUCAGACGUAACGGCUUUGUGUUUUUUAAUGUUUUUAAUCCGUUACAUUUCAUUGUUCAUAUUUGUGAUUGGAUGUUUAUCAGCCAUUUUUACAUUUUCAUACAUUGAGUAUUCUAUUUGUCUGUGUGAAGCAUAACCUUAAUGUGCAUUCAUCUCAAAACAUAUUCCAUAAAAACAUCUUACCAGGAAACCAGUGCGAGAAAGUACUUCACUAAAAUUAUCUGAAAUGUUCCCUGGUCUAUUAUUGGCUAAACAAGGGACACAUUUACAUUGUAAACAUUAUAAAGUAGUAACUGAAUUGAAGCCGCUGUAAUUCUCUAUUGAAGCACUUGCUAUAUUUUUACAUCAGUGUGUUUGUGUUGAACAUACACAAAUUAAAUUAUAACAUUUUCAGUUACAAGUGGGACAAUUCUACAACUCAUCUCAAAAUAUUCUGUAACGUUACUAGUAAAUAAUGUCCACAAAGGCUGCAGAAAGUUUAAAGCCUUAUUUUGAUGCAUCUUUGCUACAAACUGUAAAAGAAAAGGUGACUUUUGAAAUAUUAUUUGAAGUGUGUUAUGGCACUGUAUGGUAAAAGAAACAUUUUCAUGUUUUGUUUUUUUAUCUGAGAGUUUGUAAAAUUAUUCUGCCCCCUGGUGUUUGUAUAUUAAAACUACAUUUGUGGUGUUUUACAUAAAGUGUGUGUGAAAUAUGCAUUUGUGAAGUAUAUAAACAAUUCAAAAAAUAUAUAUUGCUAGCGCACACACUCACACACACACAAACACACUCACACACACCAACGGACACAAACACACUCACACACAAACACAUCACACAUACACACACACACAUCACAGACACACACACAAAUCACACACAUCACAUACAUCAGACACACACAC